rnacentral:rRNA from 1 species
GUUGAUAGGUUGGAGGUGUAAGCAUGGUAACAUGUUCAGCUGACCAAUACUAAUAGAUCGAGGGCUUGACCAAAA